rnacentral:misc_RNA from 1 species
GAUGAAGAACGUAGCGAAAUGCGAUACGUAAUGUGAAUUGCAAAUUCAGUGAAUCAUCGAGUCUUUGAACGCACAUUGCGCCCCCUGGUAUUCCGGGGGGCAUGCCUGUCCGAGCGUCAUUGCUGCCCUCAAGCCCGGUUUGUGUGUUGGGCCCCGUCCUCCGAUUCCGGGGGACGGGCCCGAAAGGCAGCGGCGGCACCGCGUCCGGUCCUCGAGCGUAUGGGGCUUUGUCACCCGCUCUGUAGGCCCGGCCGGCGCUUGCCGAUCAACCCAAAUUUUUAUCCAGGUUGACCUCGGAUCAGGUAGGGAUACCCGCUGAACUUAAGCAUAUCAAAAGCGGAGGA